rnacentral:rRNA from 1 species
UGCCAGCAGCCGCGGUAAUACGUAGGUGGCGAGCGUUAUUCGGAUUUAUUGGGUUUAAAGGGUUCGUAGGCGGAAAGAUAAGUCAGUGGUGAAAGCCUGUGGCUCAACCAUAGAAUUGCCAUUGAUACUGUCUUUCUUGAGUGCACAUGAAGUGGGCGGAAUGUGUCGUGUAGCGGUGAAAUGCUUAGAUAUGACACAGAACACCGAUUGCGAAGGCAGCUCACUAAAGUGUGACUGACGCUGAGGAACGAAAGCGUGGGGAGCGAACAGGAUUAGAUA